CUUAGUGCCAUGGUCUAGUUGACAGAGUGGUGUUUGGUCACAGGUUGGACUCCAUGAUCAGAGGUCUUUUCCAGCACAGUGGGAUUCUCAUGUGUGUAAUUCAAGUAAUGCUGGAACUGGAGCAAAUGUCAGGCAGGAUGUGGUACUAGCUCUGGUUAGAUUACUGCCCUCUACAUUUGAGUUCACUGUAGUCAGUGGUUGUCUUCCUGUUCCUUAUUCUUCAUUUCCUCAAUGCUGAGAGACACUAUCAGCAUUCGUAAAUUGUGACCCAUCGAUAAGGGAAGCUGCAUUAAGGAGAACAAGGCUCCCUGUGUUUACUCUUUUGACAAGGAUUUGAAAAUGCAGCAGAUUAUAUACUGGUACCAAUGUCUCCAGUGGGGCAGGUGUGCAAGGACAGAUAGAAAAAUAUGAGGCAAAUGUAUACUGAACUGCAAGGUCACCAAGAGCUGGAAAAGAACACAAGUCCACCAACUUAUAUUGCAAGGCAUCCUAUUCCAUGGACCAUAUUUUUCCCCUAGUCUGAGAGAAAUUCAGUUCCCAGAGAUCAGGCAUUCAUAAUCCCUGAUUUGCAGCAUCGGAAGGGCAUAAGGAACAAGUUCUUCUCAAUGAAUAGAGAGGGAUGAGGAGGUAAAUGCAUCCACAUACUUAGCAUUAGAUACCUAAAUGCCCAGGCUAGGAGCUUGCACUCCUUCUGUAGUUA